rnacentral:lncRNA from 1 species
AAAGAAUGCCAUAUACUGUUAUUUGGCAUUUUUGAUUCUUUCACUUGAUUUACUUAUCUUUUUUUUUUUUCUCCAGGGUAGACCAGGCUGUGGUUCUCCUUAAUAGGUGGACAUUUACAAAGUAAUUUUGACGUACAUGGUCUACUUUUUAAAAACUUCCAGGGAAUGGCCAGGGGUGAUGUUGCCAUCUUCAAUAAGCAACUAAUGAACUCGCUCGGUCCUUAUGUCUACCUCUGGAUUAACAUGAGACCCAGAAACUGGACCCAGCAAUUAAAUGCAUGAAGAGAAAAGAUGCAGCUUCAGUGUGAAGUUAGGCCAAUGGCUCUGAUAGAACACUGCAGAAUAAAGGCGAUUUUCCCUCAAAUAAAUC